UGGGGAAUAUUGCACAAUGGGCGCAAGCCUGAUGCAGCCAUGCCGCGUGUAUGAAGAAGGCCUUCGGGUUGUAAAGUACUUUCAGUCGGGAGGAAGGUGGUAAGGUUAAUAACCUUAUCAAUUGACGUUACCGACAGAAGAAGCACCGGCUAACUCCGUGCCAGCAGCCGCGGUAAUACGGAGGGUGCAAGCGUUAAUCGGAAUUACUGGGCGUAAAGCGCACGCAGGCGGUUGAUUGAGUCAGAUGUGAAAUCCCCGGGCUUAACCCGGGAAUUGCAUCUGAUACUGGGCAGCUAGAGUCUUGGAGAGGGGGGUAGAAUUCCAUGUGUAGCGGUGAAAUGCGUAGAGAUGUGGAGGAAUACCGGUGGCGAGGGCGGCCCCCUGGACAAAGACUGACGCUCAGGUGCGAAAGCGUGGGGAGCAAACAGG
rnacentral:rRNA from 1 species